GUGCUUUGAGAUAGGAUAGUUUAUUGGGUUUUGAAAAUGUCCUGGGAGACAGGGUAGAAGAUUUAACGAGAGGCCACAGAACAAAUUAAAAACCUCACACUAUAGGACACACAGGAAGGAGGUCAGUGCCUCAGGGAGGGGACACCUCUGUGCCAGCCCCCCCCCCAUCCCCUGCAGUUGUCCCCAGGAGGGGGCGGGAAUCAGGGUGGCAGGGACGGACUUGCAGCCUAGUUCCCUAUGGGUGCUCUGUCACUACUUGGAGGAGACACGGUAGAAAGUUAGCCUUUUCAUUGAUACUUUUUCCAUUUGGUCCUCUUUCAAAGUCUCGUCUAUUCUGCAGAACAGAAAAGAGUCCUGUGUCAGUCACAUUGAAAAUCUCACCUUUGUCCCUUAUUUCCUCAAGGCAGAGCGCAGAGAUCCUGGUGAUGCUCCAAGGGACAGACGCCCGUGAUGAGCAGAGGUGGCUGAGCCACCCUGACAGACACCACAUCCCCACGACUAGUGAGAAAGAUGCUGAACCUCGUCAGCUCUGAGCCAGUGACCAGACGCGGUGCAGGCAGGACCCGAGGCCCAGUGAUUCUCUGGGCCCCGCCUGCACCCUACGACACACUGACUCGGAUAUGACAGGCUCGGGGCCCCUGUGUCCUGCUUCUUCUGUGGACACAUGUGUCUCCUGUUUGAGAGGCCUCCGUAUGCCACUCCCUGGCGUGAACCCCGUCCCCAUGUACUGUCCCCUCAAUGCGCAUCUUGGCAAGAUGCUUCAGGGAGUGGGAAGAGAGCAGUGCUGGCCAUU
rnacentral:lncRNA from 1 species